rnacentral:rRNA from 1 species
GAUCCAGGCUCAGGAUGAACGCUAGCUACAGGCUUAACACAUGCAAGUCGAGGGGAAACGGCAUUGAGUGCUUGCACUCUUUGGACGUCGACCGGCGCACGGGUGAGUAGCGCGUAUCCAACCUUCCCAUUACUGUGGGAUAACCUGCCGAAAGGCAGACUAAUACCGCAUAGUCUUCGAUGACGGCAUCAGAUUUGAAGUAAAGAUUUAUCGGUAAUGGAUGGGGAUGCGU